rnacentral:misc_RNA from 1 species
AUUUAACUUAAUAGUUAGUAGUUGUAUCAUUUUUUAUGAGUAUGAUUGAGGACAUGCAUAGUAUGAUUGUGUUGGUUGAUUUGCAAUUAUGUAAUGGAGUGCAUGAGGAUCAGUUACCAACCUUUUAUGUUAGAGAACCAUAGCUAGACUUAGUGUGGCUGGACUGAACUUGAACUACUGUCCUGUAAUUUGAUGUUUUUNGAUGAGCCAUAGCUUGAUGCUUUGUUUUUGAAAAAACAUCAAAUUACAGGACAGUAGUUC